AUUGAACGCUGGCGGCAGGCCUAACACAUGCAUGUCGAGCGGAUGAAGGGGGCUUGCUCCUGGAUUCAGCGGCGGACGGGUGAGUAAUGCCUAGGAAUCUGCCUGGUAGUGGGGGAUAACGUCCGGAAACGGGCGCUAAUACCGCAUACGUCCUGAGGGAGAAAGUGGGGGAUCUUCGGACCUCACGCUAUCAGAUGAGCCUAGGUCGGAUUAGCUAGUUGGUGGGGUAAAGGCCUACCAAGGCGACGAUCCGUAACUGGUCUGAGAGGAUGAUCAGUCACACGGGAACUGAGACACGGUCCAGACUCCUACGGGAGGCAGCAGUGGGGAAUAUUGGACAAUGGGCGAAAGCCUGAUCCAGCCAUGCCGCGUGUGUGAAGAAGGUCUUCGGAUUGUAAAGCACUUUAAGUUGGGAGGAAGGGCAGUAAGUUAAUACCUUGCUGUUUUGACGUUACCAACAGAAUAAGCACCGGCUAACUUCGUG
rnacentral:rRNA from 1 species